GAUGAACGCUGGCGGCGUGCCUAAUACAUGCAAGUCGAGCGAACAGACGAUGAGCUUGCUCCUCUGACGUUAGCGGCGGACGGGUGAGUAACACGUGGAUAACCUACCUAUAAGACUGGGAUAACUUCGGGAAACCGGAGCUAAUACCAGAUAAUAUAUUGAACCGCAUGGUUCAAUAGUGAAAGACGGUUUUGCUGUCACUUAUAGAUGGAUCCGCGCCGCAUUAGCUAGUUGGUAAGGUAACGGCUUACCAAGGCAACGAUGCGUAGCCGACCUGAGAGGGUGAUCAGCCACACUGGAACUGAGACACGGUCCAGACUCCUACGGGAGGCAGCAGUAGGGAAUCUUCCGCAAUGGGCGAAAGCUUGACGGAGCAACGCCGCGUGAGUGAUGAAGGUCUUCGGAUCGUAAAACUCUGUUAUUAGGAAAGAACAAAUGUGUAAGUAACUAUGCACGUCUUGACGGUACCUAAUCAGAAAGCCACGGCUAACUACGUG
rnacentral:rRNA from 1 species